CCUACGGGAGGCUGCAGUGGGGAAUAUUGCACAAUGGGGGGAACCCUGAUGCAGCAAUGCCGCGUGAAGGAUGAAGGUUUUCGGAUUGUAAACUUCUUUUGUACGGGACGAAGAAAGUGACGGUACCGUAAGAAUAAGCCACGGCUAACUACGUGCCAGCAGCCGCGGUAAUACGUAGGUGGCAAGCGUUAUCCGGAUUUAUUGGGUGUAAAGGGCGUGUAGGCGGGAAUGCAAGUCAGAUGUGAAAACUAUGGGCUCAACCCAUAGCCUGCAUUUGAAACUGUAUUUCUUGAGUGCUGGAGAGGCAAUCGGAAUUCCGUGUGUAGCGGUGAAAUGCGUAGAUAUACGGAGGAACACCAGUGGCGAAGGCGGAUUGCUGGACAGUAACUGACGCUGAGGCGCGAAAGCGUGGGGAGCAAACAGGAUUAGAUACCCCGGUAGUC
rnacentral:rRNA from 1 species